AGCUUUCUUUCACCAAUUCAAAAUAUGGAAAAGAUCAGCCCAGGUACAAGUAUCAACAUAUCAAUGAAUUGACCUUAUGCUAGCCGGGAGGGCUUUCAAAAACAUUGGUAAGACAUUAUGUUAAGAAGGUAAUGUCACAUAAUCCUUGAGUUAGGGUUUUUGCUCCAAGAAUGAAAAAGAAAGGAGAUGAGAUAGUAGAAGAAAUAGGUAUGAGAAAGAGGAAGAGAGAAUAAAUGAGGCAAGAAUAAUAUUUUCUUUAUUGAACACGACUCCUUCCCUUCUUCGAUUACAUUUCUAUUUAUAGAUAGCCUCUCAACUAAGUUUGAAUUCUUAACAACCUUAAGUUAUUUCCCUCCAUUUACAACUGCCCAUAACAGCUCAUAUCCUACUUAUACAAUAUAUUCUC
rnacentral:misc_RNA from 1 species